CGCAAAUCCGACGUCCGUUGGGGUGGAAAGGGAGCUGGGAGUAUUUGCCGAGAAACCGUCACACCGCAGUCCUCCUAUAAUCUACCGUAUACAAGUCACUCCGACGUCUCGCAUGUGGAAGCCCAGCAGAGAGCCCAGGAACAUUAUUUCCUAAGAGUGAAAAGCUACAGCGGAAAAAAAUCGUCUCGCUUCGCCUGGCCGACCGCUAAACCAUGGCGAUGAUCGGUGAGCGGUCACCCAACCAAGUGUCGACUUGGCUCGGGACCGCUUGCAUCGGGAAAUCACCGAAGUUGUACACCAACGGUGCACGCGUCGCAGUUACCACAAUGGGGAUUUCUAAACUCCAUGCGAGAGAAGGCACUUUUCUCCGCAGCGAUGGCACGUUCCCACAGUUUGAAUACCGAAGGAAGGAGCUCCUUCGAGGCGAAGGCGAGCCACUCGACGAGUCGUGAUUCAACUGAAACAUGAGCCGUGCAAAUUCCUCACCUUUGCCCUCAAUUCCAUGUCGGCACGAAAGUGAACGUUUUUUCUACGAUGUUAUGCUACCACCUCCACUCCGUCGGCGGUAUGGACUGCAACUCGGAAGAAUCAAGAAUCGAAAAAAGAUUUGUGACACAUGCGUGCAGAAGAAGCUUUGCGUUUACGAGCCAAUCUCCGCAACCGCGUGCUUCCACGUAUUUAUUCGUUGCCUGAGGGCAUGUUAUUAAAAAAUAAAAAAAUUAUAAGAAAAAAUUAAACUCAUGCGUGCGAGCAGAGCGCUCUCUCGUGAGCUCCCUCGCUCGCUUACUCGCGUACAGCAUUCGCACAAUUGUACGCGGGUCAAGGAGUUCAAGUGAAAGUAUUAAAUAUCAGACAAGACACACCGAUACCUAAGAAGUAUAUCGUAUACAUACGCGUAUGUAUGAGACGCUUUCAGAUACAAAUAUAUCUAUGAACAAAAAAUAUC